GGGUUGUGAGGUUAAGCGACUAAGCGUACACGGUGGAUGCCCUGGCAGUCAGAGGCGAUGAAGGGCGUACUAAUCUGCGAUAAGCGCCGGUAAGGUGAUAUGAACCGUUAUAACCGGCGAUACCCGAAUGGGGAAACCCAGUGUGAUUCGUCACACUAUCAUUAACUGAAUCCAUAGGUUAAUGAGGCGAACCGGGGGAACUGAAACAUCUAAGUACCCCGAGGAAAAGAAAUCAACCGAGAUUCCCCCAGUAGCGGCGAGCGAACGGGGAGGAGCCCAGAGCCUGAAUCAGCAUGUGUGUUAGUGGAAGCGUCUGGAAAGGCGCGCGAUACAGGGUGACAGCCCCGUACACAAAAGCGCAUGUGCUGUGAGCUCGAUGAGUAGGGCGGGACACGUGGUAUCCUGUCUGAAUAUGGGGGGACCAUCCUCCAAGGCUAAAUACUCCUGACUGACCGAUAGUGAACCAGUACCGUGAGGGAAAGGCGAAAAGAACCCCGGCGAGGGGAGUGAAAAAGAACCUGAAACCGUGUACGUACAAGCAGUGGGAGCACAGGUUUACCUGUGUGACUGCGUACCUUUUGUAUAAUGGGUCAGCGACUUAUAUUCUGUAGCAAGGUUAACCGAAUAGGGGAGCCGGAGGGAAACCGAGUCUUAAUUGGGCGUUAAGUUGCAGGGUAUAGACCCGAAACCCGGUGAUCUAGCCAUGGGCAGGUUGAAGGUUGGGUAACACUAACUGGAGGACCGAACCGACUAAUGUUGAAAAAUUAGCGGAUGACCUGUGGCUGGGGGUGAAAGGCCAAUCAAACCGGGAGAUAGCUGGUUCUCCCCGAAAGCUAUUUAGGUAGCGCCUCGUGAAUUCAUCUCCGGGGGUAGAGCACUGUUUCGGCUAGGGGGCCAUCCCGGCUUACCAACCCGAUGCAAACUGCGAAUACCGGAGAAUGUUAUCACGGGAGACACACGGCGGGUGCUAACGUCCGUCGUGAAGAGGGAAACAACCCAGACCGCCAGCUAAGGUCCCAAAGUCAUGGUUAAGUGGGAAACGAUGUGGGAAGGCCCAGACAGCCAGGAUGUUGGCUUAGAAGCAGCCAUCAUUUAAAGAAAGCGUAAUAGCUCACUGGUCGAGUCGGCCUGCGCGGAAGAUGUAACGGGGCUAAACCAUGCACCGAAGCUGCGGCAGCGACACUGUGUGUUGUUGGGUAGGGGAGCGUUCUGUAAGCCUGCGAAGGUGGCCUGUGAGGGUUGCUGGAGGUAUCAGAAGUGCGAAUGCUGACAUAAGUAACGAUAAAGCGGGUGAAAAGCCCGCUCGCCGGAAGACCAAGGGUUCCUGUCCAACGUUAAUCGGGGCAGGGUGAGUCGACCCCUAAGGCGAGGCCGAAAGGCGUAGUCGAUGGGAAACGGGUUAAUAUUCCCGUACUUGGUGUUACUGCGAAGGGGGGACGGAGAAGGCUAUGUUGGCCGGGCGACGGUUGUCCCGGUUUAAGCGUGUAGGUGUGUGUUCCAGGUAAAUCCGGUUCACUUUAACACUGAGGCGUGACGACGAGGCACUACGGUGCUGAAGCAACAAAUGCCCUGCUUCCAGGAAAAGCCUCUAAGCAUCAGGUAACAUCAAAUCGUACCCCAAACCGACACAGGUGGUCAGGUAGAGAAUACCAAGGCGCUUGAGAGAACUCGGGUGAAGGAACUAGGCAAAAUGGUGCCGUAACUUCGGGAGAAGGCACGCUGACACGUAGGUGAAGUGAUUUACUCAUGGAGCUGAAGUCAGUCGAAGAUACCAGCUGGCUGCAACUGUUUAUUAAAAACACAGCACUGUGCAAACACGAAAGUGGACGUAUACGGUGUGACGCCUGCCCGGUGCCGGAAGGUUAAUUGAUGGGGUCAGCGCAAGCGAAGCUCCUGAUCGAAGCCCCGGUAAACGGCGGCCGUAACUAUAACGGUCCUAAGGUAGCGAAAUUCCUUGUCGGGUAAGUUCCGACCUGCACGAAUGGCGUAAUGAUGGCCAGGCUGUCUCCACCCGAGACUCAGUGAAAUUGAACUCGCUGUGAAGAUGCAGUGUACCCGCGGCAAGACGGAAAGACCCCGUGAACCUUUACUAUAGCUUGACACUGAACAUUGAGCCUUGAUGUGUAGGAUAGGUGGGAGGCUUUGAAGUGUGGACGCCAGUCUGCAUGGAGCCGACCUUGAAAUACCACCCUUUAAUGUUUGAUGUUCUAACGUGGACCCGUUACCCGGGUUGCGGACAGUGUCUGGUGGGUAGUUUGACUGGGGCGGUCUCCUCCUAAAGAGUAACGGAGGAGCACGAAGGUUGGCUAAUCCUGGUCGGACAUCAGGAGGUUAGUGCAAUGGCAUAAGCCAGCUUGACUGCGAGCGUGACGGCGCGAGCAGGUGCGAAAGCAGGUCAUAGUGAUCCGGUGGUUCUGAAUGGAAGGGCCAUCGCUCAACGGAUAAAAGGUACUCCGGGGAUAACAGGCUGAUACCGCCCAAGAGUUCAUAUCGACGGCGGUGUUUGGCACCUCGAUGUCGGCUCAUCACAUCCUGGGGCUGAAGUAGGUCCCAAGGGUAUGGCUGUUCGCCAUUUAAAGUGGUACGCGAGCUGGGUUUAGAACGUCGUGAGACAGUUCGGUCCCUAUCUGCCGUGGGCGCUGGAGAACUGAGGGGGGCUGCUCCUAGUACGAGAGGACCGGAGUGGACGCAUCACUGGUGUUCGGGUUGUCAUGCCAAUGGCACUGCCCGGUAGCUAAAUGCGGAAGAGAUAAGUGCUGAAAGCAUCUAAGCACGAAACUUGCCCCGAGAUGAGUUCUCCCUGAGACUUAAAGUCUCCUGAAGGAACGUUGAAGACGACGACGUUGAUAGGCCGGGUGUGUAAGCGCAGCGAUGCGUUGAGCUAACCGGUACUAAUGAACCGUGAGGCUUAACCUUACAACGCCGAAG
rnacentral:rRNA from 99 species